UUAUCUAAAUCUUUUCAUAAAAGUUAUUAGUUAUGUAUUUUUAAAAAAAUUUGGUUUAUAAAACUUUGAACCAAUAAGCAAUAGCUUAAUUAUCCUUCUUUAUAUUUAAAAAUAUAUAAGAAUGGAAAAAGGUUUGCUAUCAGUCAUCAAUUUUGGAUACAAAAGUUUUCCUAUAAUCGAAGAUAAAUGGUCAGCUAAAUGUAAUACUUGUCAUUCUAGUAUUACAGAAACACACAGUGUAACUUCAGGAUUUAUGAACUAAGUGAAUAAUUCACAUUCACUAUAGUUAUUAUUUAUACAGUUCUCUUUAGUUCUUUUAUUUGACUUUAGGUCAAUUUUUUUUUUUAUAGGUCAAAAGAUGAUAUAUUUAUAUUACACAUUUGUUUAUUUUUUAGACAUUUAUCUCCAAAACAUUAUUUAUCUUUAAAACAUUAUUUAUCUCCAAAACAUGAGUCAUUGUAUGAACAGUACAAGAAGAAUCAGAUCACCAAAACUAAACAAAAAAAAAGAAAACCAAGUUUCUUACAGAUCACAACAUCCUCACCAAAAGUUAUUUAUUUAAUCAUUUGUAACCAAUGUCAUUGUAAAUUGUGGUUUGCAAAUUUCAUCAACUGAAAACACUGUUCUCCGAAAGUUUUGGACAGAGAUUGAUCCGAAGUUUACACCACCAUUGCAACAAAAAUAAAACAAACAAUUGCAUAUGGAAUUUUACCAAAAAUGCGUUAAGUUAAACUCACAAAAUUGCAUCAGUUUAUAGUGAAAUCAUCAAUUUUUCACUAGCAACAGAUAUAUGGACCAAUAGAAGAGCACAUGCAUUUCUUGCAGUCACUUUCCAUGUUUUUUUUAAUGGUAAACCACAGUCUCAUCUUCUUGCAUUUUGUUCCUUCCAAGGAUCUGGAAGAAAAAUAUGGAGACAAUAGUUUUAGAAAAAAACAUAAAAAGCCAAUAAAGUGCAUUACAUUGUGACAGACAAUGCGUCCAACAUGAAGAAAGCUAUGAAUGUUUUGUUUGAUUAUGGAGAAGAUCAUUUGGAUAAUGAGGCUGAUCCAUCAUUGUAGGAAGACCCAGUUGAAGAUGAUGUAAAUCUAAAUGAAUCUCUAAAUAUAAUUGCAAUGCGAAUACCUUGCUUUGCUCAUUCUCUGCAAUUAGUUGUUUGUGAUGAAUUAAAGUUUGCCUAUGAGUCUGCAAUGGGAAAAAAGCAUUGUGUUCCAUCUAAAAAUGAAACUCGUUGGAACAGUACAUUUAUUCAGUUAAAGGUAGUUGUUUCACCAAGUUAGGUACUUUUUUGCGUGAAAAGAAAAUCUAAUAUUAUCAGUCAAAUAGUUUAACCAGCUGCAAGAAUUGGUGCAUAUUCUGGAAUCUUUUGCUGAAGCAAUAGAUCUUAUUCAGUUAUGUUGUUGCAGUUGUUCUUAGUUGUUCUAAAAUUCUAGAGGAAAUGUUAAGAAACAGUUUUUUCUCAUCAAAAGUUGGACUACAUAACUUAUUUUUAUUUUUUAAAAUUUCCAGAUGAAAUUGCAUUGCAUUCAAAAAUUCAUAAUUUGAACUUUGAUGAUAACUUAUUUAUGAUGGCCAGUGCAAUGGACCCGAUGUAUUCAUAUCAUUGCUUGAAAAUCAUCCUAGCACAUAUGAGUUAAAGGAAGAAGUUAAAAAUAAAAUAAACAGUCUUCUCUACACUGAACUAUCAAAAAUUUGCUCAAAAACAACACAAGAAGUCACGUUGAUAGUGAAACUACUGUAUCUAUUGAAACUGCUGUAUCUAGUGAAACUACAACUCAGAUUCAAGAGCCCUCUUCCAAAAAAAAUUCCUUUUUGGCAAAUUAUAGAAAAAAAUCAUGUUUUACUUGCGCAAAUUAGCAUUGUCAACCACGCUCAACAACGGCCAAACUAUCUUGAACAAAUAAAUUUGCUAAAUUUUGAUUAAAAUGAUUUUUCGUUGAAAAAACUGUACGAAAUAGAACACUAUUCAAAAAUCAGAACUAUAUUUGACAAGUAUUUUUGUAUCACAGCAAUGUCUACCCAUGUUGAGCGUAUCUUUUCUCAGAGUGGAUUAAUAAUGCACCCUCAUAGAACUUGCAUGGCUGAUUCCUUGGAUUCCUUCCAAUAUUUCAGAGCAACUAUCAAUUUGCACUGAAAAAUUUUAAAAUAAAGAAAUUGAUUUUCUAAUAAAUGUGUUAGCUGAAAAUGGAUAGAAAAAGAAAAAAUUGCAAAACCUUUCAAAUAUUGUUAUAAAAAAAACUCAAAUAAUGAAAUAGUCUUAUCUGACAACUAAGUAACCAUGCCAACAUCACUAUCGUAGAUCCCAAUAUUAUCACCAAAAUUUAGAAAAAUCUUUUGGGAAGCAGGUUACAGGGCAGUCUUUAAUUCUAGUGCAAAUCUUAGAUUUUUGCUAACUUCACGCAACAAAACAAAACUACCAUCAAAUAGCUAUCUCAGAGUAUACCUAAUAAAUGCAAGUGUGAACAAAAAUACAUCAGCGAAACAAAAAUGAAAAUAGCAACAAGAAUAAAACAACACCAAAAAAAUGUAUUUGAAAAAAAAUUGGAACAAUCUGCAAUUGCGCAUCAUAAAAUUAAAUGUCCGUGCAAUAUAAAAUGGGAUCAAGUAAAAACUUUAAAAAUAGAACACAGAAAAUUUGAAAGAAAAGUUUGAGAGCCAAUUGAAAUUCAGUUUAACAAAUGCGGACCUAAGAACGGAGGUAUGAAUUUAGUGAUGGUCAAUAUGUAAAAAUGCAAUUUUGGAGGCCAUAUUUUUAAUACUUACAUAACAUUAAAAAACCCCAAUUAUAGUGAACUUUAAAAGUUAUCAAAAAGUGAAAUUACCGUUUGUUUGUAAUUAAAUAUAAUUAAUAAUUUGUAAAACACUUAAAAGUAAAAACACUUAUGUAUUUUUUUCUUCAACAGGCUGUUUCUUUAGGUUCAUCAGAAAGAAUAUUGAAUAAAUAAGAAUAAUGAUUCUUUCUGAUGAACCUUCAGAAGGAGAAACAGCCUGUCGAAAAAAAACCUUCAGAAGGAGAAACAGCUUGUCGAAAAAAAAAUUAUGUGUUUUUAAUAUUGCUCUAUUAUUUAAGAACAUUGAGCACUCUACUUGUAGAA